GUCCUAUAAGGACUGUGAAUAGCUCAGUUGGUAGAGCAUAAGACUCAGAAUCUCUGGGUCAUGGGUUCAAGCCCCACAUAGGGCA